rnacentral:rRNA from 1 species
CCCAAGAGAUCGGGAUAACACCUGGAAACAGAUGCUAAUACCGGAUAACAACAGAUGAUGCCUAUCAACUGUUUAAAAGAUGGUUCUGCUAUCACUCUUGGAUGGACCNUGCGGUGCAUUAGCUAGUUGGUAGGGUAACGGCCUACCAAGGCGAUGAUGCAUAGCCGAGUUGAGAGACUGAUCGGCCACAUUGGGACUGAGACACGGCCCAAACUCCUACGGGAGGCAGCAGCU